rnacentral:rRNA from 1 species
GACGAACGCUGGCGGCGUGCCUAAUACAUGCAAGUCGAACGCAGUGGGGACGGGUGAGUAACACGUGGGUCACCUCCCAUCAGAGGGGAUAACACUUGGAAACAGGUGCUAAACCGAUACUGAUGGAUGGCCCCGCGGUGCAUUAGCUAUUUGGUGAGGUAACGGCUCACCAAGGCCACGAUGCAUAGACGACCUGAGAUGGUGUGCGGCAACACUGUGACUGAGAGACGGCCCAGACUCCCACGGGAGGCAGCAGUAGGGAAUCUUCGGCAAUGGACGAAAGUCGGACCGAGCAACGCCGCGUGAGUGAAGAAGGUUGUCGGAUAGUAAAACGCUGUUGUUAGAGAAGCGGUAUCUAACCAGAAAGCCACGGCUAACUACGUGACAGCAGCCGCGGUAAUUC